rnacentral:rRNA from 2 species
UGGGGAAUAUUGGGCAAUGGGCGAAAGCCUGACCCAGCAAUGCCGCGUGGGUGAAGAAGGUCUUCGGAUUGUAAAGCCCUUUCGGCGGGGACGAUGAUGACGGUACCCGCAGAAGAAGCCCCGGCUAACUUCGUGCCAGCAGCCGCGGUAAUACGAAGGGGGCUAGCGUUGAUCGGAAUUACUGGGCGUAAAGGGCGCGUAGGCGGUUUGGUCAGUCAGGCGUGAAAUUCCUGGGCUCAACCUGGGGGCUGCGCUUGAUACGGCCAGACUUGAGGACGGAAGAGGCUCGCGGAAUUCCCAGUGUAGAGGUGAAAUUCGUAGAUAUUGGGAAGAACACCGGUGGCGAAGGCGGCGAGCUGGUCCGUUACUGACGCUGAGGCGCGACAGCGUGGGGAGCAAACAGG